rfam:Ipomoea nil DNA, scaffold: scaffold3321, cultivar: Tokyo-kokei standard.
CACCGUAAGACCCCGCCGCAUAUGAGCGCUCUUCUAUAUAUAUAUAUAUAUAUAUAUAUAUAUAUAUAUAUAUAUAUAUAUAUAUAUAUAUAUAUAUAGAAGAGCGCUCAUAUGCGGCGGGGUCUUACGGUG